AUGUACAUACCAAAGAGCAAAGGAGGUAUGGGAUUCCGAGACAUUCAUUGUUUCAAUCUGGCACUAUUGGCAAAACAACCAUGGAGGCUUAUUGAUGAUCCUGACUCACUAUGUGCAAAGAUUCUCAGAAAGUAUUACCCUAAUGAUGAUCUUAUGAAUGUUGGGCUGAGGAAGAAGGCCUCCUACACAUGGCAAAGUAUAAUGGCAGGAGUG
rnacentral:rRNA from 1 species